GAUGAACGCUGGCGGCGUGCCUAAUACAUGCAAGUCGAGCGAACAGAUGAGGAGCUUGCUCCUCUGACGUUAGCGGCGGACGGGUGAGUAACACGUGGAUAACCUACCUAUAAGACUGGGAUAACUUCGGGAAACCGGAGCUAAUACCGGAUAAUAUAUUGAACCGCAUGGUUCAAUAGUGAAAGACGGUUUUGCUGUCACUUAUAGAUGGAUCCGCGCCGCAUUAGCUAGUUGGAAGGUAACGGCUUACCAAGGCAACGAUGCGUAGCCGACCUGAGAGGUUGAUCGGCCACACUGGAACUGAGACACGGUCCAGACUCCUACGGGAGGCAGCAGUAGGGAAUCUUCCGCAAUGGGCGAAAGCCUGACGGAGCAACGCCGCGUGAGUGAUGAAGGUCUUCGGAUCGUAAAACUCUGUUAUUAGGGAAGAACAAAUGUGUAAGUAACUAUGCACGUCUUGACGGUACCUAAUCAGAAAGCCACGGCUAACUACGUG
rnacentral:rRNA from 1 species